AAAUUGAAGAGUUUGAUCAUGGCUCAGAUUGAACGCUGGCGGCAGGCCUAACACAUGCAAGUCGAACGGUAACAGGAAACAGCUUGCUGUUUCGCUGACGAGUGGCGGACGGGUGAGUAAUGUCUGGGAAACUGCCUGAUGGAGGGGGAUAACUACUGGAAACGGUAGCUAAUACCGCAUAACGUCGCAAGACCAAAGAGGGGGACCUUCGGGCCUCUUGCCAUCGGAUGUGCCCAGAUGGGAUUAGCUAGUAGGUGGGGUAACGGCUCACCUAGGCGACGAUCCCUAGCUGGUCUGAGAGGAUGACCAGCCACACUGGAACUGAGACACGGUCCAGACUCCUACGGGAG
rnacentral:rRNA from 3 species